CCAGACUCCUACGGGAGGCAGCAGUGGGGAAUAUUGCACAAUGGGGGAAACCCUGAUGCAGCGACGCCGCGUGGGUGAAGAAGUAUUUCGGUAUGUAAAGCUCUAUCAGCAGGGAAGAAAAACCGACCAUAGGGUCGCUAGACGGUACCUGAUUAAGAAGCCCCGGCUAACUACGUGCCAGCAGCCGCGGUAAUACGUAGGGGGCAAGCGUUAUCCGGAUUUACUGGGUGUAAAGGGAGCGUAGACGGCAGCGCAAGUCUGAAGUGAAAUGCCGGGGCUUAACCCCGGAACUGCUUUGGAAACUGAGCGGCUAGAGUGCAGGAGAGGUAAGUGGAAUUCCUAGUGUAGCGGUGAAAUGCGUAGAUAUUAGGAGGAACACCAGUGGCGAAGGCGGCUUACUGGACGGCAACUGACGCUGAGGCUCGAAAGCGUGGGGAGCAAACAGGAUUAGAUACCCUAGUAUC
rnacentral:rRNA from 1 species